CCUACGGGUGGCUGCAGUGAGGAAUAUUGGUCAAUGGGCGUAAGCCUGAACCAGCCAUCCCGCGUGAAGGAAGAAGGCGCUAUGCGUCGUAAACUUCUUUUCCAGAGGAAUAAAAUUUCGUACGUGUACGGAACUGAAGGUACUUUGGGAAUAAGCAUCGGCUAACUCCGUGCCAGCAGCCGCGGUAAUACGGAGGAUGCGAGCGUUAUCGGGAUUAAUGGGUGCUAAAGGGUGCGUAGGAGGAUGAAGUGAAAGCCUUCAGCUUAACUGGAGAACUGCCAUUGAUACUGUUAGUCUUGAGUACGGUCAAGGUAGGCGGAAUGUGUAAUGUAGCGGUGAAAUGCUUAGAUAUUACACAGAACACCGAUUGCGAAGGCAGCUUACUGGGCCAUUACUGACGCUGAUGCACGAAAGCGUGGGGAGCGAACAGGAUUAGAUACCCCAGUAGUC
rnacentral:rRNA from 1 species